ACAACAAACCAGCCGCACCACUCCAUCUAUUCCCCCUUUCACCGCCGCCUAUCACCCAAUCCCGCCCAAACUCGGACGAGUUCACCCGAACCCACUCGCCCAUGGUCCCCCUCUCAUUCUCCACGUCACCCAAACCCUAACAAACUCUGACACAAGAAUAUUCCAUCCCUUCUCUCACGCGUUUCUUUGAUUUUGAGGAUCAAAUUCGGAUAAAUGGAGACCGUUGAUUGAUUUACAAUCAAUCCUCGCAUUCCAUCUGUCCCGAAUUGGUUCUAGAGAGUGAUUUCCAGAAUUUCAGAUUUUUUAGGGAGUUUGUUUUUGGAUUUUCUUGGGGGAAAAGUAUGGAAGCUUCUAGGUUCCCUAUAUAAAGGGUUCAUUUUAGGAUUUUUAGGGGAUUUGUGGGGAGAAAAUAUUUGGAUAAAAAAAGAAGAAAGGGUUCUAGGGUUUUGAGAAAUUCCAUCUUCUUCAAUUUUCCUUUCCGAUCUAUCUGUUUAUUUAGAUUUCAAAAUCAGAAAAAAAAAAUACAAAAAAAUAUACUUCUGUUUCUUCAUUUCAAUUUCGGAAAUUUGGUUUUGAAAAUGGAGUCAAGCUGAAGUGGGUGUCCGAUUUGGAGUUUCCGUUCGAGAUUGGUCCAUGGAUUCCUGUUGAUUAUUCUGGUUGAUGUUCUAGUUUCGACGUUGGAUUUUCCUGUAAUUGCUGCUUCCGAACAGAAAAUAUAUUGAGGAAAGCUACUUAAAGGUCCCUCUCUUCUCUGUUCUUACUUAUGUGCUUGCUUAUACGUUGAAUGAUCUAAGAGCAAGAUAAGUGCUCAGAUGUGAUUAGUUGUUAAAUUACGGUAGUCUUGAAAGCUCUUAAACCAAAGGUAUUAGAAUUUCUAUUCUUAUAUGCAUAUAUUAUUUUACAGUUCUUAUACUACUUUGUAGUAGUAUAUUUUGAAAGUUUAAUUUCUUUUGUUGGCAUUCUUCCUUUUUAGUAGUAUAUCAGUAGGUUAUUUCCAACAUGAUUUGAAGUUCUUUUUUGGUCGUCACUUUAUGGAAAGAGGAUUUAAUCUUGUAGAUGUACUUUUGGUUCAUAUUGGCAGUAGUCUUUCCUUUAGAUUUUUGGAUUUUUUUUAGUUAGUUAUUGAGAUGGUUUGAAAAACUCCUUUAGUCUUUGCAUUCUUACUGUUUAGUUUUUCGUUUUUAUUAUUUUUCUUUCUCUUUUCCCUCAUUUUGGAGUAUUUAAAAGUCAAUGUCCUCCUUUAGGUGUUACGUUUUCAAUCAUCACUGUGUUCAAUUAGUUUUCUCUAUAGUAAGUUAAUUUAAGUGUUAGAGUAAUACAAUUAAUAGUCACAGAUGGGCCUUUAUCUUGCUUUAGUCAUUUCUUUUGUUACUUAUUAUUUAGUUCACUUAUAUGAUGGACUGAUUCUGUGUGCUUGAUGGUUUCCGAGAAAUUGCAAACAAGAGAAAAUUAUGAACAAAGAGUGAAAAUUGCUUGAAUUGGGCCGUGGGGUGAUGUUAAAUAUGAAAAAUCAGACCGUGAAUGUUUAAUUGUUUUGCUUUCAUUGUUUUCUUAACGUUAGGAGCAUACUUAGGCCGUCAACACUAGGGUAGGCAAAAUUUAGGUAUUGUCUUUAUUUCAUUCGAGGUGAGAGGUCAUCCCCUUUAGUUUAUUUCAGGGGAAUGCCCUGCAAAUUUUGUAUAUAUUUUUAUUUGGGGUUUGCCCUGUAGUGAAUGUAAUUGGAGGCCGUGACGGACAUCUUGGAUGAGCAUAGUAUAGACUUUUAGUAUUUUCCUCUUGUUUUAUUUUUCUUUUAUUUAGGUGGGAACAACCUCGAGCCUCUUGUGUGUUUAUUUUUCUUUCGUGUGUUUUUGCCUCAGUUUGAGUAUUCUUUAAAGCCAAUUAGAUCAAAUAUGUAACCGUGACCUUCACGGGACUCGGGGAAUGCCUAACACCUUCUCCCCGAGUCAAAUGAACUCCCUUACUCAGAAUCUCUGGUGCAGUCAGUUUUAGAGUCAAAUGUGUUUUGAAGAAAAAUUAUUUUUUAAAAAAAAUGGUGACAUGGCACACCGAAUCCUUUUGAGCUUUAAAAAUUACUUUUUAUCCAUUUUAAAGAGGGUUAAGGUGAAAAAAGUGGUGUGUCAAGAUCAAUAACUAACUUUUCCGCCAUUUUUUUCACCACAACAAAUAUUGUUGGUAAAUAUGCUAAUUUUUUGCAACAAUAAUUUUUGUUGUUAAAUGUUCUCAUAAGUCAUAAGCCACAUUUACAUGACUUGUUACCAAUAAAAUAUACUUUAAGGCAACAAUAAUUUUUGUUGCUUGUUGGUUGUUGCGAAUACUGCGUGCAACAACAUUUUUGUUGUUGCCAAAACUACUUUUAGCAACAACAUUUGAUUUAUGGCAAAUCAAAUGCCUUCUUUCUUGUAGUGACGCACUUUUCAACCUUUAUCAGGGUUUAAUUUGUUGGUGGGGCAUUUUACGUGGGGGUAAGUGGGUCGGUUCAUGGGUCGGUUAGCAUGGAUCCGAGUAAAUAAAAUUUAGGAUAGGUCACUUUAAUCCCUAGGUGCCAUGACAUCUGAUUGCGUCUCCAACUUUAUGAUCUUUCUUCAGCAGUGAAAAAAAAAAAUUCCCGAGGUGCCACAUAUUAUUCCAUCCAAAUUAUGGUAUUUUUGAAUCAAACUGUAAGGUAGGGGCUCAAACAAACAGAUAAAAUUGAGUAAAACAACUUAGGACAUAACUAAAGAGGAAAAACACAUCAACACUAGCACGUAUCUUUCUCCCACAUGCAAUGAUUUGUUAAUUCUAAAAGAAAAGAGUUAGACUUCCUCCGGCAAAUACAAAGUGAGCCGAAUUCAGUGCAAAUUGCGUAAAACAAAAAAUAGCAACAUUAUUUUUAGUUCUACAAUGAUGAAAUUAAAUUCCCUAAUGAAGUUGCGUUUUAUUUCUAAAGAUAUCAUCUAGGUUCAAAACGCAUUAUAUACUGUAGUACUAUUUUACAAGUGACUAAUUGACUGUCAUACCUUAGGCAUUGAAGUGAUGGAUGUUUCAAAAGGAAGCAUAGAUCUGCAUCUGAGUCAAAAUGUGCUCAAAGUUAUCUGUGGACUUCUCAAUGGGAUGUGAAUGCAUGCCUUCGUAAGUAGUUACUACUACUCCUUCAUCCUUUGACAGCCUUUGUACUUGUUUCUUCACGUUACAUCCUUGAUGCGUGCAUCGGUAGUAGCUUCUGAGAUGAGCAGCACAAGCAAUAAUUAGAGAUAAUUUAAAGAAGGAAUUUCCGUACAUUCUCUUCGAAUUGAAACUGGUAUUCUCACUAUGACAAAAUGGUUUUUGUUUUUGUUUCUAUUUCGAUUCCGGAGAACCGAAUAAAUUGAUAUUAGGCUAAUAUUUCUCUCAAAAUGAUUUCUCUUUUAUUAGUUUCCCAUUAUUAAAUUUAUUGAUAUUUUAUCAACAUGCUUAAACGUAAAAAAAAUAAAUUAUUUUAUGUUCUUUCUGAAGGCCGUUUAAUUAAUCCUCGAUAUAGUAAAUAACGGAUAAAUAAGUAGAAAAGAAGGAUAUAAAUAUUUAAAUAAUCAAGUUCCAUUCACUCAAAUCAGAGGCGUACCUACUUUAGGGUUAGGGGGUCAUGGGUACCCAUUAGCCUCGGAAAAAAUACUGUAAAUAUAUUUUAUAUGUAUUUGUAUGUACAUUGGAGAGUCAUUACCUCCCUGGACGCUAAUGCAGCAAAGAGUGUGAGUGCACUCUCUUUUAAGCGCGUGGGAGUGAAGAAAAAUUAAAAAAUCAUCUUACAAGUAGGUUAUUUUUUAACUUUUAAUUGCAUAUAGUCAUAUAUAAUGAUUUAUUUGUUACAACUAUGUAUUUCUUCUUGUUUCAUCUUAACAUAUAAUAUGGACUUUACUCUAACUUUUAUUCUUUUUAAUUUCUUCUAUAGAUAUAAUGUCUAUUUGUUCCAACUGCAUAUUUUUUUUGGGGGGCCAAAUUUGUAAAAGUUUGCUUGGAACUCCAUCAUUUUAGCCAAAUAAAAUAUUUUUAGCAAAAAUAAUAGAGUACUAGUUGUGUAUUUUCUGUUAUUUGUUUUCUUUAGAUAUAAUAUCUAUUUGUUUUAAUUUUGUAUGUAUAUUUUUGAGUCAAAUCAGUAAAAAAAAAUGGCUACAACUCCAUUAUUUUUACCAAAUAAAAAAGGUAUAGCGAAAAUAAUAAACUUGCAAUUGUACACUCUUUUUAUUUCUUCUUUUGAUGCAAUGACUAUUUAUUUCAACUGUGUAUUUUUACUUUUUCUGGUAAUAUUUGUAAAAAAAUAAUAUUUUUAGAGCUCCAUAAUUUAGAGCUAUAUAAAAAAUUACAGUCAAAAUAAUAAAAAUCAAACUAUGUAUUUUUAUAUCUUUUUAGAUGCCUUGACUAUUUAAUUCAAUUGUAUAAAUCUUUACUUUCAGGUUUAAUUCAAAAACAAUAAUUACGACUUUAUUAUUUUUAGCCAAAUAAAAAAUAAUUAGCCUAAAUAAUGUAGUUCUAACCAAGUUUCAUUAUAAAUAUUAUUAGAAAAGGAUUAUCGAAAAAAGUAACACACUUGAAAAGGUAUAAAAAAUAUUUUAUUUUUCAAAAAAAUAACCACCAUGGACAGGAAAAUACCACGUGGCNNNNNNNNNNNNNNNNNNNNNNNNNAAACUUGCAAUUGUACACUCUUUUUAUUUCUUCUUUUGAUGCAAUGACUAUUUAUUUCAACUGUGUAUUUUUACUUUUUCUGGUAAUAUUUGUAAAAAAUAAUAUUUUUAGAGCUCCAUAAUUUAGAGCUAUAUAAAAAUUACAGUCAAAAUAAUAAAAAUCAAACUAUGUAUUUUUAUAUCUUUUUAGAUGCCUUGACUAUUUAAUUCAAUUGUAUAAAUCUUUACUUUCAGGUUUAAUUCAAAAACAAUAAUUACGACUUUAUUAUUUUUAGCCAAAUAAAAAAUAAUUAGCCUAAAUAAUGUAGUUCUAACCAAGUUUCAUUAUAAAUAUUAUUAGAAAAGGAUUAUCGAAAAAAGUAACACACUUGAAAAGGUAUAAAAAAUAUUUUAUUUUUCAAAAAAUACCACAUGGACAGGAAAAUCCACGUGGCAGGUGAGUGCAUGCCACUUUUCUAGGAUGAGAUCGUCUAAGGGGGUAAUAGCUAUUGAAUAACCAAGUAUAGGGGGUAAUUAAUAACGCGGAUAGUUCAAGAAUGUAAUCAAUAAUACGUGCCAAAUUUAGAAGGUUUUUAAGGUAUUUUAUUUUUUUAAUUCUUUAAUACUUGUGCACAAUAGUCAACCUAUAGUUUUAACCCUUUUAAAGCUCAAAAACAAAAGUAAUCCUUCUGACUCUCACCUAUCUUUUUCAAACAAAAGUAAAAUCCUCUACUAACCCCUCCUGCUCAAAAAUAGAAAAUAAAAAAAACUUUUUAAACUAUUGUUUUAACUUUAUUCAGCGUUUGCUCGAGCUCGACUCCGACCGUCCGAAUUGGCAAUGACUACUAAGUUUGAGACUCUUCUUCAGUUGAAACAGUAAGUUUAUUUGAGUAAAUUUUAAUUUUCUUUGAGUAAUUUUUUUUCUUUUGAAAAUAUUAACAUAGCAAAAUAAUUUGAUAUCAAACUUUUGCUUUCUGCAAAGAGUUUUAAAGCCAAAAAGAGAAUUUAAAGUUUAUAUUUUGUUGAUAAAUUAUCAUACUCAUUAUGUUUUUAUAGAGUUACACGUCAAAUUUUAUCACUAGUAAUUGGCAUGCUUACAAUGAUGCCCCGUCAUGCUCAAAUCUUGGUCAACCUCGACUCAAAUGGUUUUUCUCUCUCUUUGACAGCUAUAACGAGUUCGUAUUCUUUCCACUGCUUGAAAGAAGCUGCCAUCUUGACACUUAGCAGAAUUUGGAUUAAUUAGUUCCACCUUACUUUUCCCAUAUCUAAGUCCUUAGGUAGUUGAAAUUGGUACUCCUGGGGAAAUAAUAGCAAAUUAUCGAUUUAAAUUAGUGAACUUUUUGCUUUUUUCUCUUUUUUUUUUUCCUUCUCUUUAGACUUAUGUGCUGCUCCCUUUUAUUGUUUGAAUUACUGUAUCUUAUCUGAAGGAUAUCAGUAGGACAUUACUCAUGGAUGUUACUUUAUCUAUGAUCGACCUAGUCAGAUCAGUUUCGUAGUAGUAGUUAAAUAUGAAUUGACUCCCAGCUGUAUCAUGGUUAAGUGAGAGAGUCCAAUUUAUUACAUUUCCUAGAAUUUCUUAUCAUUUCAUUUUUCAUGUUUCCACACCAAAACUUUCAGUAUCCAUACUUUUGAUCACAAUAUAAUACUCAUUGAAAUGUAUACCAAUAGUUAAAUUUGGGUUCAACUAGUCCUACCAAACCUCGGUGCUUCCGGAUCAAUCCUUAAACGUCAAUCUCUUAUUUGUGAUCAAAGGGCUAAUUGAGUUACUUUGCACGUUUUGAUUUUUAAUUUAUCCACUAUUUAACGUAAAAUAAGUAAUUUUCCUAGGCAUGUGAAGCUCCACAAUUAUAGUGGUGCAAUAGUUAUUGUUAAAAAGUAGAAACCAAUCAGCAAACAAAGAGCACUUCUAAACCUUAAUGUAUAGGUCUAUUUGAGUCGGGUCACAACAUUUUUUUGUGAAUAUCAUAAAACUAAUUUUAAUUAAUCUUGACUAGGUUGCUGUGAAAAUUUUUAGGUGUAUGGAAAUUGACUUGAGAAAUACGCCUAAAUGCUUAACAAAAAGAUAAAUUUCCCUUCCUAGUUGAAAAUACUUUGUUACCUUUUGAUCCCUGAAUACGGUUAAAACCAGGCCCAUCCGAUUUUACUGUUUGACCGAGACCGGGAGUUUGCAUCGAAGGACGGUCUCGUAACGGAAUAGGCCAUAUCACGAGGAUAAGGUACCGAGCUCAGAACCGAGGUACCUGUCGAGAUCGAGGCUAGUAGUGAUCGAAGCCAAAUGAGACAGACAUCGAACAAGAUCGAAGAUAGCAUAAUAACAGAAAGACAAAAUAUCCGUGGCUGGCCGAGGAUCAUGGCAUAAAUCUCGGUAACUGGUCGAGGAUCAUGGCGUAAAUCUCGAAACGGAUCAAAUCAGAAACGGUUAAUUAGCCAAUCAUGAGGUUUCUUUCUAUAAUUAGAAUUGUACCAUAAGUGAAACUUCUCUAUUAUAUAAAGCGGGGUUCUAAUCAUUUGUAGGGCACGUUUUGACAGACACAAAAAGCAAUAUAAUUCUCUUUAUUGUUCUCACCAUUGUUAUUCAGCUUGUUAUACUUUCAUAGUUCUUGCAUCAACCAGUUAAAGGGUGUCCAAACUCAAGGGCUGAGUUUCAUUCUAACACUGGUUUGCUUUACUUUAUUAAUAAUUUUUAUUACUCAUUCUCAAAUUUAUCAAUUAGUAUUAGGUGA
rnacentral:lncRNA from 1 species